CAGCCGCCGCGGUAAUACGUAGGGUGCGAGCGUUAAUCGGAUUUACUGGGCGUAAAGCGUGCGCAGGCGGCCCGUUAAGACAGGUGUGAAAUCCCUGGGCUCAACCUAGGAAUUGCGCUUGUGACUGGCGGGCUCGAGUACGGUAGAGGGGGGUGGAAUUCCUGGUGUAGCAGUGAAAUGCGUAGAGAUCAGGAGGAACACCGAUGGCGAAGGCAGCCCCCUGGGCCUGUACUGACGCUCAUGCACGAAAGCGUGGGGAGCAAACAGGAUUAGAUCCCCUGGUAGUCCACGCCCUAAACGAUGGGUACUAGCCGUUUGGUGCGCGAUAGCGCUGAGUGGCGAAGCUAACGCGUGAAGUACCCCGCCUGGGGAGUACGGCCGCAAGGUUGAAACUUAAAGGAAUUGGCGGG
rnacentral:rRNA from 1 species